GGAGGAUUAGCUCUAAUUGGUAAGACAGCGGUCUUGAAAACCGCCGGGCUUUGCCCUUGGGGGUUCGAAUCCCUCAUCCUCCGCCA
rnacentral:tRNA from 1 species